CAUCCCGAGAGAGAAAGUCAUAGUUAGUGUUAAAUACUUCGUUAUAGACCAGAAGAAAUGCAUAGUGAAUGUCACAAAUUUACUCCCUACAUUACUGUCGUUAUGGUGGCUUGCUUAGCCCAUGGGCUGUGAUGUCUGUGAACGAGGAACAAUAAAGUGUUUUGCUGUCAUCUGAUGUAGAGCUCCUUCAGUCUGUAGCAUGAGCCAUUGGUUCGUAUUAUUAAGUUCUUCAGAUUAAAGCUUCCCCCGGUUAUUACAUAAUUUCGUGAGUUGUUACGUUGGGAUGAAAGGGAAUGCUGAAUUCUGUUGCAUUUGCUGCGGCCAUUUUGUGUGCUUCGGGCAUUCACCUAUUCGUACCGCUCUACAGAUCGCUAAAUCGUGUAUUAACAGAAGAACAUAGUAAUAGUCAUGUUUCAGUGUGCUUUCGUAAAAACCUUUAGCAACAGGAUUUUGGAGAUGUGUAACAAAACGAAAUAGGUUCAGUAAAGAGCUGCUGGUACGUGUAUUUUUCAGUAAGUGCAUUAUUCGAUAUCAGAGAAUAGAAGAUUCGUCAUCUGUGGUACGCACGUCAGAGAAAACGUAGGCCUAUACAAGACUAUAGUCCUGGACAAUUUGAAAACCAUUUCAGUCAAAGAAGAAAAAACAGAUGAGAUAUGUGCUAAGCCAGACACCAUGAAGUGACUAAUGGCAGAGAUGAAGGCUGAGAGAAGGAGUUUUGUGAGCGACCUGCACAUGCUGCUGGAAGCUUAAAAUGGCGCAGACGUGACUCUGGUGCCCAGGGGCUCGGAGCAGUCAGCACAAUCACAUCCUGGCAGGGAGGAGCCCCGUCUUCGACGCCAUGUUGUGUUUCUUGCAUGUCACUUCACAACAUAGCUGCGAACACGGGGCUUCUUGCUGGCAUGUCGCAGAUUAAGCAUGCAGCCACUUAGCAGAGGUAACUGACAUAAGAGAAGCUCCCUUACAGCAGUUGUGAAACAAUCCCUAACCAUACCGUAGCCUGCAUUAUAGUCCAGCAACACUGUGAACUGUCCAAAAUAACAGCAAGUGUGUUACAUUGGGAUAUGGAGUAUCUUGUGUGGAUUAUUUUGCCAUCUCUUGACCCUGAAUAUUUAUAAAGAACCAACUUGUGAUAAUAAAAAAACUACACAUCUUUCAUUAAUUGCAGCUAAAGGAUAAUUUGAAACGUAAUACAAAAAACUAAAUAUCAUAAUGUCAAUCAGAUGCAUUUAGGACUACCGUAUUUACUCGUAUCUAAGCUGCACUUUUUUUCCAUUUUUUGUAAUCCAAAAAACCGCCU